UGUCAGUACAAUAUCAGUUGAGCCUGCCAAGAAGUCAUGCAGGAGGUCCUUGAACUUUUACACUGAAGGACAGCCUAGAGACAACAAUUCCAAAUGUAAGCUUAAUUCUGAUGAAGAUUCUCAACUACAAGCACAUGAUGUUGGGGAAGGAAAUCAAUCAAAAUCAAUUGUGACUGUAGGGAAUGGAAUUGAAGUGAUAGUGGAAACUACACAAACAGGCAUUGCAUAUGAUCUAAAUCAUUCUGUUAAUCAAAAGCUUCAAGAUUACCUCGCAUUGCCUGAAAAACAGGCACCAAGCACACCAGUAUAUGCAAACAUUGACCCUGCAAGGAGAAUAAGGAACAACAAUUCCCAAGAGAGCCCUGCUGAAAGAGAAGGCCAGGUGACUACUCACAGUGUACAGCAGAAUGCUGCACAAAGCAUGUUGCAAACUGACAAUCAAUUGCCACCAAUCAACCCAAAUGACUCCAUCUGCGGCAAAUACACAACUUUGACCAUGGAAGGACAAUCAAACGGAUCAAAGAGGAAGGUUUUCAGUUGCAUUCAACAGCCAGGCACCUGCAACACAAAUCUAACUGGAAUUUUCUGUAAUGCUUUACCUCAAUAUCAGGCAACAUCUGAGUUCCAAGUUCCAAGCAAUUUCAAGAAGAGGAGGACUGAAAAGGCACAUAUCGCCA
rnacentral:lncRNA from 1 species